AAACAUAUGAUGUAUAGUGGCACAGGAUCGAAUGUCACAACAUUAUAUAUCACAGGAGUUCUAUACAAAAUAAAUAAAUAAUUACAUUAUAAGGAGACAACGGUCCAGUAACCCAAAGUUGACUGGGAGACGACGGCCUAGACCACUCACGAACACAUCGCAGCAUCCUCCAUGAGCAUCAUCCUGCAGUACCUGGUCUUGACCUGUGGUGUAUGUGAGACAGCAAGAGUGAGCUCACAUACGUUCAUCGCUCAACAAGUUGUGGGGAAUAAUGUGCAUGAACUCGCCAAAGGUGGGAGCUCACGUGAAGUGUAAGGCUUACCAAAGAAGAUGGUUAGAGCUGAGCAUUGCUUUUAAGGUUGGUCAAAAUUUUAUUAGCAGUUACUAAGUAUAAGUAAAUACCAACCCAAUUAAAUAGUAGAACAAAAGUAACCACAUCACCUGCAAUGCAAUGCAUAUGACAAAUUGAGUUUAGUUCCAUAAAUUAAUCAUGUGAGUGUCCGAGCCGCUCAUGACCGUGAGCACGGCUAGUAUACCAGUUUUACACUCUGCAGAGGUUGCGCAUCUUUACCCACAAGUCGUGUAUCCCAUGUCGCCAGGGUUUGCAAGGCCCUUAGACACUUCCGAGGUGAAUGGCUAGGGAUCCACUACGAGGCCUUUACAAAGUUCCACUAGCUUCCGAAAACCCGCUACAGUUUAUAGGAAGAUCCAGUACAGGAAUCCCUUGCAGGACCGCCAUCACAGCAAAAUCCUCCCGAGGGCCUCCCCAGGAAUCCCUUGCAGGACCGCCAUCACAGCAAAAUCCUCCCGAGGGCCUUCCCAGGAAUCCCUUGCAGGACCGCCAUCACAGCAAAAUCCUCCCGAGGGCACUUCCCGCACUGACCUCUCCCCUACUGCCCUUGCCCCUUUCGGGUAAGGUAGUCUUCCACUAGCUUUCCUAAUUAAUCAGCCAAGGGCGUCCCAUUAAACCCUUGUGGUAGCACUGUUUUCCCGGGUGGUUCUCCAUGUUCCAAUUAACAUAAUGAUCUUAACAUGAACCAUAAAUAACAACUGAUAACAAAAGUAUAAUCAUGAAUAGUGUAAUCUUCAUACCCAAAACCACAUAUAGCACUAGCAAGUACUACCCAGAAAGUUCAGUGGUAAACAAGGUAUGAAGAUAGACAAACUAGGGUAACCUAUUGGGUCCCAUCAAAAUUAACCUAUGCAGAUCAUUAUGAUUAAUUAGAACAUGAGUAGGUGAAAAGAAGUGAUCAAGGGCACAACUUGCCUGGGCCUUGAGAUUCCAGGUACCAGGAUGAUCUUCAGAUGGCACGUGACCUCACUGCUAGUCGUAGCAAUUCAAACAAACAUGGUAUAGGCAAAAUUAACAUUACACCAAACAUAAGAACAAAAUACACAUUAAUAAUAUACAUAUUAAAAUAAGAUCACAGGAAAAAGAAUUAUUAAUUUUUGAGUUAUAGAAUUCAAGUUAUGAAUUUCCUAAGAUUUAAGGUGAUUAUAAUAGGAUUACAUGAUAAAUUUAUUUUCUAACAGAGUUCAUGUCAAAACAGUGAUUCUAAAUGAUAGAGAAUAUUAUUACAAAAUUUUAGGAAUUGGAAUGACUCAAUUUGGAGCUAAAAUGAAUUUUCUAUGCAUUUUACAAGUUUCUAGAUUUGUUUUUGUAAAAAAUGAAUUUCUAAUAUUAAUUUCUCUGUUUUUAAUACUCUCGGGACUGGGCGUCAAAUUCCAGAAAACUCAGGGGCCACGGAGUAAGUUUUCCGUGACACAGUGAAUAGUAAUAGGUGGACGGCGGGUUUAUUUCUUUAGAACUCAGGGACUCUUUAGCAAUUGUGACACGGCGAAGGGGUACGGGGCACCGUGAGCCGUCAGAUCCGAGACGUGCGCACCAGAUUAGAUCUGGCCGCCCGCGAAGCGGUACGCCGCACGGCCCGUCCAUUCUGCGAUCAACGGCGCGGAUCUAAUUACUCCGAAAUCUCCCCCGAUCCGUCCGAUCAAAAUCGAACGGAUCCGAUUCAUGCACGAAGCGUUACUCCCUCUUCUAAUCUCGGACAUCCGCGUCACGAUCAACGGCCCCCAUCGUUUUACCCAAUCCCGCCCCAAACACGGCGGCGCCGCCCUCACGCGCGGCGGAGCCAUCGCCGGAGUAUGCCAAAUCGAGAUCCCGAGCGCGAAUCACCACAAUUAAGGGGCGGUAAACAUAGCAGAGAUUAAGGCGAGACUUACGGAGGUGUCCUCACCGUUGAUCGAGCUUGCAGGCGCGCGGUCCACGGCGUCCCUCUUUCCGCCGACCCGCUCACCCUCGAAUACUCUCACUCUCGUCGCGAUGGUGCGCCAGGGGUUGCGAAGAUGGAGUAGAAGGCAAGCCGGAACCUCGUUGCAUCAUAUAGGGAUAGCACGGUCGAGCAGGAUCAACGGAUUCCCGAGUUUGGUUCGCGCGGGGACUACGGCAUGAGCUCCGCAGAUCCCGGUCAGGUUCGGUUCACCGCGAGGAAUUGGGGAGUUCGCUCCGAUGCUGACGCUCUAGACCCACCAAGCCGUGAGAUGGUCAUGGAGGGCAAGAGUCCCGGCGUGCGCGAGUCA
rnacentral:lncRNA from 1 species